rnacentral:lncRNA from 1 species
ACGUGUACCGGGUAACUUAACAAGGCUAUCGAGUUCACCAACUGGAACUCAUCAUCCCAAGGAUCUCCCACAUAAUAGGUAUAUUACAAUAAUCACAUUUGAUACACACACAUUGGAGAUAGAGCGGAAGACUUUUAUAAAGUACACUUUACAUUCCAGAACUCAAGUUUUACAAGGUAGAAAGAGAUGUAUUUAUUACAAGUCCUGAUAGUACCCAAAGUGCAUAACUUAUUACAAUAAUUGGAAGGGUGAAGCCUUUUAAGAGAUACACAUAAACAUUCUAAGCUUCAAGGCCUCCACAUGAAGUAACUAACCAAAAGAUAAGGGAAUAAAACUUCUCCUGCAAAAACAACAGGAGAUAAAACCCUGAGUACGCAAUUACUCAACAAGACUUACCCGACUAAAGAAAAGACUCUCAAGGGUAUGCUAGUUGAUUGGGAAUCAAGGUAAGGUUUAUCAAUGAUCAAAGACUCCUUUUGCAGAAAAGCUUGCUACCAGUUGAUCCUUAAGCCAAGUUUUAUUUCACUAGUUAGGUUAUUACCUGAAUCUAUAUUUGCCUGAUCUAGUUCAAGCACUUGGCCUAUACUAGCUCCAUUUUAUUCAUUCUCAUAUUUCACUUGCUAACUACGAUGAUGGUCACCGGGAUGAGUCUCCAUAACCGAGGAGCAACGACGAUUCGAACCGAUUAUACCCAGCUGGGGAUCUCUAACCACACGACAUAUGUAGCACUUGACCCUUGCAUAUGUCAACCGUUCCCACGGAGUCCUCCACUACAUGAACAGGUCCGCGCCACCCGAGAGCACAUUACCCUACCAAGCGUGCUACUAUGCAAGGAGGGUACAUGCUACUCCCGCCAUCUCUCCACUCCCAGUGCGCGAUUGUCUCUUCACGUAUGGAAUAGCCGGGUUCAAGCUUACCCUGUCCCAUACCAGGGUAUGUGGCUAGUUGCAAAGUCUCAACCACAACAGGCCAGUCAACGGUACGGUCCUUAAUCGACACAGACGGGCGACUCUGUCUGCUCAGCGCCUGGUCUAGAUUUAUUAACCAUUUCCCCAUUUUUGGUACCCGGCAGGGGUACUCUUUUCCAAUGAUGAGCCCACUCCGGCCGAAGUGGAGUCAUCACCUUAGUUUGCUUUGAUUUUUGAAUCAAAAAGCCGAUAACCAAUGUUCCACAAUCAUUCUUUUUGAAAACAAAUGAUUUUUCAGUUUCUAAGCAGGGUUAAGCAUUAUCAGUUCUUUUUAUAAAUCAGGGAUUAAGGAGUUUCCAAGGAAUGGUAAUGCAUCAAUUUUUCAUCACACAACUCCUAUCACCUAAUGCAUCAGAUAAGGUGAAAAAGCAUUUAAAACACAAGGAAGGGGCAAAUGCACCGGGGCUUGCCUUUGUUGCAGAGAAGAGGUUCUAGAUACUUCUAACACGAUGAUCAGUUAGAUGGCUCCAUCCACUUGAUGAACAGGCACUGGAGUAGACUCCUCUUCAGCAACCACUUUAUCUUAAAUCUUCACUCUUUAUUUUGGGAGCUCUACAUGAAAUGACAUGAUCAUGAAUGCUUAUGCUUAUGUAGUUAGCAAAUAAGGUAUUAUAAAGCAUUACAUGAUUACACCUACAAGCUAUCAUCAUAAGUAAUAGUUACCAGGGAUCUACUUAUCCUUAGAACUCAUCUAACCAUCCAAAACUUGCUAAACAACUUCAUUCCUUACUAAGACACUAGGUGUCCUAAAUACCCUCGGGUAAAACUCUUUUCCUUUAUUGAGAAAUAAUUAAUUUGCUAAGCAAAUCUUGUCCAAACAGUUCUAAACUUUACCCAAGGGUUCACAUGCUCAAGAUAAGCUUACACAAUUUUUAGUGCUCUAUUUUUAUUACUAAAACUCAUAUAAUCCUAUUAAAACCAAGUUUUAAUUAUACAAAAAUAAGGACCUGCCUAAAAACCCCUAAAACUAUUUUUUUAAACCUAGAGAACCCAUUUUUGCGAGUCCAACAAUAUUUAUCCCACAAAUGUUACUUCUUUUUGUAGUUCUAGGCAAAAUUCACAAGCUCUAUGGUAAAUAAUAAAAACAAACCAUAUACAGAGCUAGGGCUGAAAUCGGCCCAGUUGGUCCAGCACGAGAGAAAAUUGGUGCCAGCCGGCCCAAAGCUCUAGACUCGCGCACCCGCGCUCUCUUCGCGCGCGCCGGCAGCGGCGUCGUGACGCUUCCGAUACGCUAGAGCAGUAAAGAUGAAACAGCCAGGCCGAUGAGUAUCACCACUCUAUAAGGAGAUCAAAAUAUAUAAACGACAACAUGGAAUACGGCUGUGCUUGCCUGGCCACGGUGAGGCGGAGCUACGGCCGGCGUGGUCACCUGCUCAGAGAGAACGGCAACAGCCCCGGCCUCAGGCGAGUUGAACGAGGUAACGCAGUUCCACGCAGACGCGAGAGCAUGGACACGGAGAACUCUCGUCGAACUCUACAAGCAACAGCAAGGCGCCAGAGCACUCCACCGAGCAGGGAAGCAAGGCAGUAUCAAGGAAACAAAGAAACAUGAGCACGUCGAGCAUGUUCACACGUGAUUGUUAUUCGUGUUUCGGUCGACAGCUGCAUGGGUUGGACACGCGGCCUCCACGCCAAGGCUCCACGCACAACCCAGGCUAUGGCUCAUUGAAAAACAUUGGUCGGUGUCGCACAGGCAGGAAACAUGCAGGCAGGGGAGGUCUCCAUGGAUAACUACGACGCUUCAGAUUUUUACAGCGUGA